UUUUUGAAAAUAAUUUAAAGUAGGGCCUGCCCACUGAGUAAUUGAAGGGCCGCAGUAUUUUGACUGUGCAAAGGUAGCAUAAUCAUUAGUUUUUUAAUUGAAAGCUUGUAUGAAUGGUUUGAUGAGAAAGAAACUUUCUAUAUUUAAUUUUUUAAUAAUUUUAUUUUUAAGUUAAAAAGCUUAAAUUUUUUUAAUAGACGAGAAGACCCUAUAGAGUUUAAUUUUUAAAUGAAUUUUAACUUUAGGAAUUUUAUAGAUAUAAUUUAAAUAAAAAUUUGAUUGGGGUGAUUGAAAAAUAAAAAUAACUUUUUUUAUAUUUUUACAUAUAUUUAUGAAUUAUUGAUCCAUAUAAAUGAUUAAAAGAAUAAAUUACCUUAGGGAUAACAGCGUUAUUUUUUUUUAGAGUUCAAAUCGAAAAAAAAGAUUGCGACCUCGAUGUUGGAUUAAAAUUUAUUUUAGGUGCAGAAGCUUAAAAAUUUGGUCUGUUCGACCAUUAAAAUUUUACA
rnacentral:rRNA from 1 species